AUUGAACGCUGGCGGCAGGCCUAACACAUGCAAGUCGAGCGAGCGGCGGACGGGUGAGUAAUGUAUGGGGAUCUGCCCGAUAGAGGGGGAUAACUACUGGAAACGGUAGCUAAUACCGCAUCCCAUCAGAUGAACCCAUAUGGGAUUAGCUUGUCGGUGGGGUAACGGCUCACCUAGGCGACGAUCCCUAGCUGGGCUGAGAGGAUGAUCAUCGAAACGGGGACUGAGACCCGGACCAGACGCCUACGGGAGGCAGCAGUGGGGAAUAUUGCACAAUGGGCGAAAGCCUGAUGCAGCCAUGCCGCGUGUAUGAAGAAGGCCUUCGGGUUGUAAAGUACUUUCAGGCGGGAGGCGUUACCGACAGAAGAAGCACCGGCUAACGCCGUGCCAGCAGCCGCGGUAAUAC
rnacentral:rRNA from 1 species